rnacentral:rRNA from 1 species
GACGAACGCUGGCGGCGUGCCUAAUACAUGCAAGUCGAGCGGACUGAUUAAGAGCUUGCUCUUAUGACGUUAGCGGCGGACGGGUGAGUAACACGUGGGCAACCUGCCCUGUAGAUCGGGAUAACACCGAGAAAUCGGUGCUAAUACCGGGUAAUAUCUGAGAUCACAUGAUCUUAGGUUAAAAGAUGGCUCCGGCUAUCACUACAGGAUGGGCUCGCGGCGCAUUAGCUAGUUGGUAAGGUAAUGGCUUACCAAGGCGACGAUGCGUAGCCGACCUGAGAGGGUGAUCGGCCACACUGGGACUGAGACACGGCCCAGACUCCUACGGGAGGCAGCAGUAGGGAAUCUUCCGCAAUGGACGAAAGUCUGACGGAGCAACGCCGCGUGAGUGAUGAAGGGUUUCGGCUCGUAAAGCUCUGUUGUUAGGGAAGAAACAGUACCGAACGAACUAGGUCGGUACCUUGACGGUACCUAACCAGAAAGCCACGGCUAACUACGUG